UACGUAGGGCGCAAGCGUUGUCCGGAAUUAUUGGGCGUAAAGAGCUCGUAGGCGGUCUGUCGCGUCCGUUGUGAAAACUCGAGGCUCAACCUCGGGCUUGCAGUGGAUACGGGCAGACUAGAGUGCGGUAGGGGAGACUGGAAUUCCUGGUGUAGCGGUGGAAUGCGCAGAUAUCAGGAAGAACACCCGUGGCGAAGGCGGCUCUCUGGAACGCAACCGACGCUGAGACGCGAAAGCGUGGGGAGCAAACAGG
rnacentral:rRNA from 1 species